rnacentral:rRNA from 1 species
AAUUUAAAAAUUAUUGAUUUAAAUUACAUAUUAGUGAAUUAAUUUUUUUGUUUAUUUUAAAUUUUAUUAAUAAAAAUAAUUUUAAUUUAAGUUGGUUUAAGUAAUUUUUAAAGAAAAAAUUAGUUUAAAUUAUAGUUAAUUAGUAAAGUAGAAGAAUUUUGAAAAAUUAUAAUGAAAAUUUAAAUUUUUAAAAAGUUAACCUUAUUUGUUGUACCUUGUGUAUCAGGGUUUAUUAAUUAAAAAAUAAUUUUUUUAUUUUUCUCGAAUUUAAAAGAUUUAUUUUAAUUUAUAUAAUUUUUAUUGUGUAAUAAAUAUUUUUAAUAUUAAAAUAGAAAUGAAAUGUUAUUCGUUUUUAAUGUUAUCUAGUUUUUUAAUAAAUGAAUUUAAUUCAGAUAUUAUAUUUAAAAUUUAAAAUUAAUUUUUUUUUUGUUAUUUUUUAUAAUAUUAAUAAUUUAAGGGAUAAGCUUUAUAAUUAAAAUUUUAUAAUUUUAUAUGUAAAUUUUUAAUAUUAUUUUUAUAGUCUUAGAGAUAGGUUUUAUUUUAAAAAUGUUAUAAUUUAAAUAAUUUAAUUUAAUAAUAAAAUUUUUAAUAAAAAUUUAAAUUUUUAUUAAAAUUUUUUAAAUAAUUAUGUUUUAAAAGAAAUAAUGAUAAAAUUAGUAAAUUUUUUAAUUGUAAAUUUAAUUUAAAUUUAUUAUUUAUUAAAUUAAUAAAUAAUUUUGAAGGUUAAUUUAAAUAAUUCGGCAAAUAUUAUAUUCACCUGUUUAACAAAAACAUGUCUUUUUGAUUAAUAAUUUAAAGUCAAAUCUGCUCUAUGAAUUUUUAAUUUAAAUGGCCGCAGUAUCCUGACUGUGCAAAGGUAGCAUAAUAAUUAGUCUCUUAAUUAGGGGCUGGAAUGAAUGAUUUAAUGAAAUAUAAUCUGUUUCAAUUUAAUUAAAAAUUAAAUUUAAUUUUUAAGUUAAAAAGCUUAAAUUUUUUUAAAGGACGAGAAGACCCUAUAGAGUUUUAUAAUUUUUUUAAUUAUUGAAUUUUAAUUUUAUUUAAUAGUUAAAAAAUUAUUUUGUUGGGGUGAUAAAAAAAUUUAAGUAACUUUUUUUUUAUUUUAACAUUAAUUAAUGAAAAAUUUUUGAUCCUUAUUUUAAGAUUAUAAGUUUAAAUUACCUUAGGGAUAACAGCGUUAUUUUUUUUAAAGUUCAUAUUUAUAAAAGAGAUUGCGACCUCGAUGUUGGAUUAAAAUUUAAUUUAGGUGAAGAAGCUUAACGUUUAGGUCUGUUCGACCUUUAAAAUUUUACAUGAUCUGAGUUCAAACCGGUGUAAGCCAGGUUGGUUUCUAUCCUUAAAAUAAAAAAAAUUUUUAGUACGAAAGGACCAAGAUUUUGAAAUAUGUUUUUAUUAAAGUUUAAAAGAAUUAUAUUAAUUAUUUAAAGUA